UGACACUGAACACUGGUCCUUGAUGUGUAGGAUAGGUGGGAGGCUUUGAAGUGUGGACGCCAGUCUGCAUGGAGCCAUCCUUGAAAUACCACCCUUUAAUGGCUGGUGUUCUAACGUGGGCCCGUAAUCCGGGUUGCGGACAGUGUCUGGUGGGUAGUUUGACUGGGGCGGUCUCCUCCUAAAGAGUAACGGAGGAGCACGAAGGUCAGCUAAUCCUGGUCGGACAUCAGGAGGUUAGUGCAAUGGCAUAAGCUGGCUUGACUGCGAGCGUGACGGCGCGAGCAGGUGCGAAAGCAGGUCAUAGUGAUCCGGUGGUUCUGAAUGGAAGGGCCAUCGCUCAACGGAUAAAAGGUACUCCGGGGAUAACAGGCUGAUACCGCCCAAGAGUUCAUAUCGACGGCGGUGUUUGGCACCUCGAUGUCGGCUCAUCACAUCCUGGGGCUGAAGUAGGUCCCAAGGGUAUGGCUGUUCGCCAUUUAAAGUGGUACGCGAGCUGGGUUUAGAACGUCGUGAGACAGUUCGGUCCCUAUCUGCCGUGGGCGCUGGAGAAUUGAGGGGGGCUGCUCCUAGUACGAGAGGACCGGAGUGGACGCAUCACUGGUGUUCGGGUUGUCAUGCCAAUGGCAUUGCCCGGUAGCUAAAUGCGGAAGAGAUAAGUGCUGAAAGCAUCUAAGCACGAAACUUGCCCCGAGAUGAGUUCUCCCUGACUCCUUGAGAGUCCUGAAGGAACGUUGAAGACGACGACGUUGAUAGGCCGGGUGUGUAAGCGCAGCGAUGCGUUGAGCUAACCGGUACUAAUGAACCGUGAGGCUUAACCUU
rnacentral:rRNA from 1 species